rnacentral:lncRNA from 1 species
GAAGACUUGCUGGAUUUUAUGGUGAGGGAGUUGGUUAGUUAGUUUUGAGGAGAUGGGGGAGGGAGGGGUCUGUGCGACGGCGAAAUUGUGGUGGUCGUUGGUUGCUGUUGGUGAGAAAGGGAGUAGGCAUCGCUGGGUGUUGCUGGUCGGCGACGAAUUUGAGAGGAAGUUGGGGUGGCGGUUGUUGCUUCUUUUAGGGGUUCAAGGGUU